rnacentral:rRNA from 1 species
GACGAACGCUGGCGGCGUGCUUAACACAUGCAAGUCGAACGAUGAACCCGGAGCUUGCUCCGGUGGAUUAGUGGCGAACGGGUGAGUAACACGUGAGUAACCUGCCCUUGACUCUGGGAUAACUGCGGGAAACUGUAGCCAAUACCGGAUACGACCCUCGGCGGCAUCGCCAGGGGGUGGAAAGAAUUUCGGUCAAGGAUGGACUCGCGGCCUAGCAGCUAGUUGGUGAGGUAACGGCUCACCAAGGCGACGACGGGUAGCCGGCCUGAGGGGGUGACCGGCCACACUGGGACUGAGACACGGCCCAGACUCCUACGGGAGGCAGCAGUGGGGAAUAUUGCACAAUGGGCGCAAGCCUGAUGCAGCAACGCCGCGUGAGGGAUGACGGCCUUCGGGUCGUAAACCUCUUUUAGUAGGGAAGAAGCGAAAGUGACGGUACCUGCAGAAAAAGCACCGGCUAACUACGUGCCAGCCGCCGCCGUAA